rnacentral:rRNA from 1 species
GAAGGUUUCCGUAGGUGACCUGCGGAAGGAUCAUUA